rnacentral:rRNA from 1 species
CACGUAGUUAGCCGUGGCUUUCUCAUAAGGUACCGUCACACUUUAGCCAUUUCCUACUAAAGUCGUUCUUCCCUUAUAACAGAAUUUUACAACCCGAAGGCCUUCAUCAUUCACGCGGCGUUGCUCGGUCAGGCUUUCGCCCAUUGCCGAAGAUUCCCUACUGCUGCCUCCCGUAGGAGUCUGGGCCGUGUCUCAGUCCCAGUGUGGCCGUUCACCCUCUCAGGUCGGCUACGCAUCGUCGCCUUGGUAGGCCUUUACCCUACCAACUAGCUAAUGCGCCGCAGGCUCAUCCAUCAGCGGUGCCAGGAGCACCUUUAAACUUUCGUCCUAUCCGGUAUUAGCGAUCGUUUCCAAUCGUUGUCCCCGUCUGAUGGGCAGAUCACCUACGUGUUACUCACCCGUUCGCCGCUCACCACCGAAGUGGUUCGCUCGACUUGCAUGUAUUAGGCACGCCGCCAGCGUUCAUCCUGAGCCAGGAUCAAACUCU